rnacentral:tRNA from 1 species
GGGGUUGUGGCUCAAUGGUAGAGCGCUUGCCUAGCAUGUGCAAGACAUCGAUCCUCAGCACCACAUAAAAAUAAAUAAAUAGGGGCUGGCGUUGUGGCUCAGUGUAGCACGCUCGCCUGGCAAGCACGGGGCCCUGGGUUCAAUCCUCAGCACCACA